GAGAACGUCUUCUUUCUUUAUGCAACGGCGUCGAGUACACUGAGUUACCUGGUUUCCGGCAUAGUCUUGAUCACCAAGACCAAGAAACUUCUGGAUGUUGUUCUUCUUUCCGGGAGAGGUUUUCUGAGCUAUGGAAGGAUUGGAAAAGAGUUUCUGUAAAGGCGAUGGAGAUGGGUCGAACCGACCCGAGAAAGAUCAUCUUCUCCGCCAAGAUGGGUUUGGCAUUGAUUCUUAUAUCUUUGUUAAUCUUUUUUAAGGAACCCGCGGUUAAAGAGCUUGGUAAAUACUCUGUAUGGGCUAUUCUUACUGUCGUCGUCGUUUUUGAGUUCAGUAUUGGAG
rnacentral:misc_RNA from 1 species